GAUGAACGCUGGCGGCGUGCUUAACACAUGCAAGUCGAACGAUGAAGCCCAGCUUGCUGGGUGGAUUAGUGGCGAACGGGUGAGUAACACGUGAGUAACCUGCCCUUGACUCUGGGAUAAGCCCGGGAAACUGGGUCUAAUACCGGAUAGGAGCGCCUGUCGCAUGACGGGUGUUGGAAAGAUUUUUCGGUCAUGGAUGGACUCGCGGCCUAUCAGCUUGUUGGUGAGGUAAUGGCUCACCAAGGCGACGACGGGUAGCCGGCCUGAGAGGGUGACCGGCCACACUGGGACUGAGACACGGCCCAGACUCCUACGGGAGGCAGCAGUGGGGAAUAUUGCACAAUGGGCGGAAGCCUGAUGCAGCGACGCCGCGUGAGGGAUGACGGCCUUCGGGUUGUAAACCUCUUUCAGUAGAGAAGAAGCGAAAGUGACGGUACCUGCAGAAGAAGCACCGGCUAACUACGUG
rnacentral:rRNA from 1 species